AUGCUGAUAUCAGUAUCGCGAUGUCGUCUCAUAGUAGCGCGUACAAUAAGGAUCCGAAAAGAGAAGGGAGUAUAGAAGGGAAGGGGCUUCGAGGGGGGAGGGGCAUCCGAUCGAAAAUUAAAACUGCUACCGAUGUUUUGCUCGCGUGAAUGGCACGUCACCUGCUGUUCUUGCGCUAUCACAUGAUCCUAUGUCGGAUUAGCUAGUUGGUGAGGUGGGGGCUUCCGGCCCAACAAUCCGUAACUGGGCAGCCAACCGAUCGGGUGAUCGGCCCUGAGACACUGACCACUCCUCCACUCCUACGGGAGGCAGAAUAGGGGAAUAUUGCCCAAUGGGAGAAACCCUGAGCCACGUGUCCCCGUGAAUGAUCAAACCUUCGGGUUUUAAAGUUCUGUCUUCUGGGACUAAAAUGACGGUACCGUAUUAGGUAGCCACCGCUAACUACGUGCCCGCCUCCCCCGGAAUACGUAGGUGGCAAGCGUUAGCCGGAUUUACUGGGCGUAAAGGAUGCGUAAGCGGACCUUUAGCGCAAAUGGGAAAUACCCUAACUUAACUUGGGUGCUGCAUUUGAAACUGGGUGUCUAGAAUGCAGGAGAAGUUAUUGUGGUUCCUAGUGGGGCGCUGAAUGCCAAACAUUACAAAGAACACCACUGGCGAAGGCGACUUA
rnacentral:rRNA from 1 species